GCGGAACAACUCAUGGGGCAGAAUCUUCAAGGAAUGAAGAUUUGAGUCCUUCUACCAGGUUUUGCAGAGUGCCUCCAGAAAUAAAAGUGUUACAAAAGAAUCACUUCAGAAAACCUACACUUAGAGAGUCCAUUUGAAAAUUGCCCUAUUUGAAAUGAAGUGGAGAUCAGUAAUAACAAGGACUUCCCCAUAUAACCCAAGGUCCUACUGGGUUAGUGUGAUCUUCUGCGGAAGGCUGCAGCUGCUGUCAGGAGGCCCUCUGUCUACACUCCUCUCUGGAGAAGUAGAGCAUCAGAGCAGCUCUUCAUGAGGAGGAGCAUCAGAGAAGCUCUUCAUGAGGAGGAGCCUCAUGAAGGUGAAACCUAAAUGAUGAGAAGCCAGCUAUGUAAGAGGAGCAUUUGACACAGAAGGAACCAUAAGUACAAAUGUAAUGAGAUGAGAAAUUUCUUUGGUAUGUUGAAGACAUCAGGACAGGUCCCUUUUAAACUGAAGCAUAGUGAGAACAAGUGUAAAGCACAACACAGACGGAAGAUUGCACCUUAGCUCACUGCCCCGUGCACCCCGGUUACACCGUCUAAGAAAACACUCUGGAUUCAAUCCUUGGAAAAUAUGUGCUGAGCUACCACUUCUGGAAGAGUCUUUCCUGGUUAAUUACUUGAAACCUGUUGCAUUGGGAAUUUCUCAGAAAGUCUGCCUUGAUGAGCUUUACUCAAGAGCCGCAACUUCACGGAUCGGACAACAGAAAAGACUUCGGCAGUUACCAAAUCUGAAGUACUCAUUGUGCAUGCUAGCAAUCUGGGACUAAUAAGGUUAAAUUGUCUGAGACCUCAAGGUGGAAGUGACAGCUCCUGUGAAUGAUGCAUGAAGCCGCUGACAUUGCAACAGAUGGCGCUUUGGAAGAGAUUCCUUUCUGAACUGCCUGGCCCUCUUAUGGAAAUCCUGUGAGGGGUGAUCUCUGGUGACCAGGCUCAGCAGGAAGAGGAAUGUGCAUCCGACCUUGUGCGGAAGUUUGUCUCCAUGAGGUCAUACAGCUGCUUGAGGUUGCUCGGAGAGUAAGAAGCAGAAUGAGAACUAGAACAGAAGCUCACUUUGGCCUGAAGGCUCAUGUGCUGAGCAUCUUCCCUUGUCUGUCUCCACCCCUAGCCUGGUGCCCAGCAUGUAGAAGACCUUCAUCCUAGAUGCAAUGGGAUUAAACUUGGAGAAAAUGGGAUUAAACUUGGACAAACACUACCUAUUUGGACUUGUGAUGAUGGCUUUCAAACUUCUUAAAGCAAUGAAGUAUUUUUUCCAGAAGAAACCUUACACAAGAAGCCCAGCACACUGAGUCAAGCAUAUGUAGGUGGAAGAUAUCUGGUUGAGACCAAGUAGAGAUAAACCUGUAGAUUCAACUGUGCCACCACAGUGAAUUCUAAGAAUCCACUGACUGUGAUCUGUAAGCUCCUACUCCACAGGAGGUCAGGGCACACAGCUUGAAACCGGAAGGCAGAAGAGUGACAGGGAAGGGUCAUGGACUCUGAAAUUAGAGCUAUCUGUGUUUUAAUACUAGUUCCAAUAGGCACAUGGUCUUGGAUAAAUGGUUUAAAU
ensembl:lncRNA LINC02725 long intergenic non-protein coding RNA 2725